AUACUUGCAUCUUGCUUGUGGCAUUCCAUAUACAUUUCUGUUUAAGAAACAUCUGCUCAGAAUCUACUUUGUACAGAGAGUGCCCCCACAAAGAUGAACAAACCAUGGCUCUUGAUCUCCAAAAAGUGUAUAAACUAGUGGGGCAUAAUAAUAAAAGUCACAAUAAUACAUAUACUGAGGUACAGACAUAUUUCCUUGACGCUCUAUUGCAUUUUCCUGAACAUGCUCUAGCUUAAUUCAAUUCCUUCAAAAAGCUCUUGAGUUCUCCCACACCAAAUGAGGGAAAUGAGCAACAGAGGCAUUGUGUGACUUGCCCAGAGUCACACAGCUAGUCAAGUGACAGGGUAGAUUCAAACCCAGGCUAUAUUGCUUCUGAGUCAAAGUGUAGUCAUCAGUUCGUGCAUUUCAGGGAGUCUGAAGAGGUGACUUCAAUGACUUAAAUAUCACAAAAAAUAAAUUUUGGACUUUACUAGGCUCUUAAUUGGUUUUACUUGGUUUUCUUUGAAGUUUUUUUUGUUUUGUUUUGUUUUGUUUUAACCUAGACAGUGACUCAGUGAGUAAAAUUCUGGCAGCAGUCUGAAUGAGGGAUGUUAUGGAGACAUCAAAGGCAGGGAAAUCAGAAUAGUCCAGGAAAAAGACAACAAAUGCCUGAACAAGGAUAGGAGUUUUGGAUGGGGGAGAUAGAGAUUAGAGAAAGGAUUAGGUAAAGAAAAUUGACAUCAUGUUGACAUGCUAAGGUUGAGGGGUAAGUUUAGGACAAAGAGAGUGUGACUGUUUUCUAGUUGUGUAAGCAGAAGUUUGGAACCUUUCACAAAAAUAGGAAAGAUGGGAUGAAGAGUGACUUCGGAGGGGAAAAGGUAACAAGCCCAGUUUUAUAAUGUAAAAUUUGAGAUGUUCUGAUGACCUGAUUCCAUUCAUGGGAAGCUAGUUUCUCCAGUCAUUUCAUGUAUUCCUCAUAUGAAGUCAUUGAGUAUACUCAUCAUUCAAAAGACAUAAAUAUAGAAAUAUGUUAUUUUCUGAGACAAGUUAUAAACUGAGACAGAGUACCUAUUUUUAAAAUCACUAUUGUAAAAUAAUUUACUCCAUAGCCACACACACUUACUCUUUAUUUUUAUACUAAAGGUAAUAGAAGAAAACCAACUCCAAAAAACAUCAUUUUUCUCUGCAAUGCUGAAACAUUAACAAAAAUGAGCUAAAAUGCAAUUUAAAAUAUUUUUGAACUUUUUCUUUGCAAGUGUUUCUAUUAAAAAUUAAAUAUUAAAUAUUUUUGUCACAAAAACAUGGGCGAACAAGAACUAAGCAUGAAGUGUUUAGUGAUGUCUAUAACUUUAAGAUUGCUCUUGGCCAAGAUCAAAAUUGCUUAAAAAUUUAUUACUUAAAGAAGUCUAUUUUCUUAAGUAAUAAAUAUAAGAUAUUGAAUAAUCUUUACAUUACUGAAAAAAACUUAGAUAUUUCAAUUCAAAUAUUUUAAUUGUAAGAGACAAGCAUAUUUUAAAGACAUGUUCUCAAGGAAAUACAGAACUUUAAAUUGUUAUCAACAUUCUUCCUUUGGGUACCACUGAGAUAUGUCUAGUCUUUUGAAGGUAUAACAAUCACUUAAAGCUUGAUUCUGGCUGAGUAUAACACAUGGAAAUUAAGUCAUUUUAAGCUGCCUACCUGAUUGUGGUUUUAAUACACUAGUAUAAACAUUCAUCCUUCAGUGCGAGAUCUUAUCGUAUCCAUGAUUAUUUCUAUCUUGGGUCUGUCUGUAAGGUGCCAAAUUAAACAGGAUUUCCUUGAAAGAUUCUUGAUCAGGUUGAAGUUGGCUAUGGCAAGUAUUUUCUGUGAAGACCUGGGUUUAGCUCUAGCUUUUAUCGUGAAUAGAUUCUUUAACCUCUUUGGGGACCAGUCUGCCCAUUGUAGUGUGGAAAUAACAAUGCCUGCCUUGUUCAUAGUGAGUUCUUAAGGCCAUUGAAAUACACAUGUCAGAACUGUUGGGUUUUCAAUAUCUUUAAUAUUCAAUUCCUCAAGUAUAGAAAAUUAGUACACGAUUUAAAUGAAGACCUCCAUGGAUGAAUUUAUGGUGCCCACAGAGACUGGCACAAGAAACAUAUCGCAGUUUUUGAACCCGCUUCAUGAAGCCUUUGUGAGACUGAUUCCUUACAUGAGUGUUGGAAGCGUGAUUGAGUUCUAAGUGUUUGGCCAGCUUUUUAACCAUAUCUUUAAAUACCAUCAUUCCUCACACAUCCUUUGACUUUUCUCAACUGUGGAAAUUUUGUCAACAUUUUGUUAAUUUAGGUAGUUCCUCAUUCCUUCCUAUCACUCCCAUUGCGAAAAGUCCAUGUGGGUCCAUUCGUGAGAACUUCAAUAGGAUUACAACUUACCAGAUACAUUAUUUUUCACCGCAAGUCAAUUUUAGUCAAACCUACAUUUAACAGUGUACAAUUGGCAAAAGGGCU
rnacentral:lncRNA from 1 species